rnacentral:misc_RNA from 1 species
GGAUGAAGAACGUAGCGAAAUGCGAUAAGUAAUGUGAAUUGCAGAAUUCAGUGAAUCAUCGAAUCUUUGAACGCACAUUGCGCCCGCCAGUAUUCUGGCGGGCAUGCCUGUUCGAGCGUCAUUUCAACCAUCAAGCCCCCGGGCUUGUGUUGGGGACCUGCGGCUGCCCGCAGGCCCUGAAAACCAGUGGCGGGCUCGCUGUCACACCGAGCGUAGUAGCAUCAUCUCGCUCAGGGCGUGCUGCGGGUUCCGGCCGUUAAAAAGCCUCUAAUACCCAAGGUUGACCUCGGAUCAGGUAGGAAGACCCGCUGAACUUAAGCAUAUCAAUAAGCGGAGGA